rnacentral:rRNA from 1 species
GUUAGGAAUAUUGGACAAUGGGCGCAAGCCUGAUCCAGCCAUGCCGCGUGAGUGAUGAAGGCCUUCGGGUUGUAAAGCUCUUUAGUCCACGAAUAUAAUGACUGUAGUGGAAGAAUAAGCCCCGGCUAACUUCGUGCCAGCAGCCGCGGUAAUACGAAGGGGGCGAGCGUUAUUCGGAAUCACUGGGCGUAAAGCGUGCGUAGGCUGUUUUGUAAGUCAGAAGUGAAAGCCCAGGGCUUAACCCUGGAAUUGCUUUUGAAACUACAAGACUCGAAUUCGGGAGAGGAUAGCGGAAUUGUCAGUGUAGCAGUGAAAUGCGUUGAUAUUGACAGGAACACCAGUGGCGCAAGCGGCUAUCUGGACCGAUAUUGACGCUGAGGCACGAAAGCGUGGGGAGCAAACAGGAUUAGAAACCCGUGUAGUCC